UACAGAGGGUGCGAGCGUUAAUCGGAAUUACUGGGCGUAAAGCGUGCGUAGACGGUUAUUUAAGUCGGAUGUGAAAUCCCCAGGCUUAACCUGGGAACUGCAUCCGAUACUGGAUGGCUUGAAUCCGGGAGAGGGAUGCAGAAUUCCAGGUGUAGCGGUGAAAUGCGUAGAUAUCUGGAGGAAUACCGGUGGCGAAGGCGGCAUCCUGGACCGGCAUUGACGCUGAGUGAGCGAAAAGCCAGGGGAGCAAAGCGGG
rnacentral:rRNA from 1 species